AUUGAACGCUGGCGGCAUGCCUAACACAUGCAAGUCGAACGAGUGGCGGACGGGUGAGUAAUGUCUGGGAAACUGCCCGAUGGAGGGGGAUAACUACUGGAAACGGUAGCUAAUACCGCAUACCAUCGGAUGUGCCGAGAUGGGCUUAGCUAGUAGGGGGGGUAACGGGUCACCUAGGCGACGAUCCCUAGCUGGUGUGAGAGGAUGACCAGCGACACUGGAACUGAGACACGGGCCAGACUCCUACGGGAGGCAGCAGUGGGGAAUAUUGGACAAUGGGCGCAAGCCUGAUGCAGCUAUGCCGCGUGUAUGAAGAAGGCCUUCGGGUUGUAAAGUACGUUCAGCGAGGAGGCGGUACUCGCAGAAGAAGCACCGGCUAACUACGUGCCAGCAGCCGCGGUAAUAC
rnacentral:rRNA from 1 species